rnacentral:tRNA from 1 species
GGCUCAUUGGUCAAGUGGUUAAGACUCCGCCCUCUCACGGCGGCAACAGGGGUUCGAAUCCCCUAUGAGUCAUAA